rnacentral:rRNA from 1 species
UCCUGGCUCAGGAUGAACGCUAGCUACAGGCUUAACACAUGCAAGUCGAGGGGAAACGACAUCGAAAGCUUGCUUUUGAUGGGCGUCGACCGGCGCACGGGUGAGUAACGCGUAUCCAACCUGCCCACCACUUGGGGAUAACCUUGCGAAAGUAAGACUAAUACCCAAUGAUAUCUCUAGAAGACAUCUGAAAGAGAUUAAAGAUUUAUCGGUGAUGGAUGGGGAUGCGUCUGAUUAGCUUGUUGGCGGGGUAACGGCCCACCAAGGCUACGAUCAGUAGGGGUUCUGAGAGGAAGGUCCCCCACAUUGGAACUGAGACACGGUCCAAACUCCUACGGGAGGCAGCAGUGAGGAAUAUUGGUCAAUGGGCGAGAGCCUGAACCAGCCAAGUAGCGUGCAGGAUGACGGCCCUAUGGGUUGUAAACUGCUUUUAUAAGGGAAUAAAGUGAGUCUCGUGAGACUUUUUGCAUGUACCUUAUGAAUAAGGACCGGCUAAUUCCGUGCCAGCAGCCGCGGUAAUACGGAAGGUCCGGGCGUUAUCCGGAUUUAUUGGGUUUAAAGGGAGCGUAGGCCGGAGAUUAAGCGUGUUGUGAAAUGUAGACGCUCAACGUCUGCACUGCAGCGCGAACUGGUUUCCUUGAGUACGCACAAAGUGGGCGGAAUUCGUGGUGUAGCGGUGAAAUGCUUAGAUAUCACGAAGAACUCCGAUUGCGAAGGCAGCUCACUGGAGCGCAACUGACGCUGAAGCUCGAAAGUGCGGGUAUCGAACAGGAUUAGAUACCCUGGUAGUCCGCACGGUAAACGAUGGAUGCCCGCUGUUGGUCUGAAUAGGUCAGCGGCCAAGCGAAAGCAUUAAGCAUCCCACCUGGGGAGUACGCCGGCAA